AAAGUUCUGCCCAGCCCUCUCGUGGGCUUAGAAUUCACGGCGGCUGACCUCACCGGCUAUCUCCAGGCUCCCGUGGCCCCCGGUUGUCGGACGGCCCCCGGCCCCCGCACUGCUCUCGGUGUGUUUGGGCCGAACUUGGGGGCCUCUCGAACGGGGUUGCCCGGCCUGCGAGCGCGGGGCGGGGGAACGCUCCUCGCUCCCAUCGGCCGGAAAUAGGAGGGUAAUCAUUUCUGGCAGCCUCCCGCCGGCCCGAAAUUGGCCCCASGCUCCCGUGGAACCUGGGCGCGGAGUCGCCUUCGUGGGAGCCAGAGUCAGGGCCCGGRAUCMGGCGUAGCAGGCAUCUGAKCAGGUUGCCCAGCGCUUCAGGUUSGGCCCUGGUCUUCRSGUGGGGCGGCGCCGAAAUCUAGGGCCCGCCGGCCACGGGGGCUGAGUGUGGUCGCGCGUGGAAAGCCGUGCUGGCCGCCGGCCCUCGUAGGCCCUCGUUGGCGGGCCCCCGGCUGGAAGCGCCUGCCCCGACUUAGAGGGG
rnacentral:rRNA from 1 species